UUAGGUUAAGUUAGAAAGGGCGCACGGUGGAUGCCUUGGCACUAGGAGCCGAUGAAGGACGGGACUAACACCGAUAUGCUUCGGGGAGCUGUAAGUAAGCUUUGAUCCGGAGAUUUCC
rnacentral:rRNA from 1 species